rnacentral:rRNA from 1 species
UAAAGAGUUCUAUAACUCCCAAACCCAUGUGAACAUACCUAACGUUGCCUCGGCAGGUCGCACCUACCUUGUAGCACCCUACCCUGUAGGGCCUACCCGGGAGGUGCGGGUAAGCCUGCCGGCGGCCCACCAAACUCUGUUUGAUAUUGAAUUCUGAACCUAUAACUAAAUAAGUUAAAACUUUCAACAACGGAUCUCUUGGUUCUGGCAUCGAUGAAGAACGCAGCGAAAUGCGAUAAGUAAUGUGAAUUGCAGAAUUCAGUGAAUCAUCGAAUCUUUGAACGCAUAUUGCGCCCAUUAGUAUUCUAGUGGGCAGGACCGUUCGAGCGUCAUUUCAACCCUUAAGCCUUCGUUGCUUAGUGUUGGGAGCCUACGGCAACGUAGCUCCUCAAAGUUAGUGGCGGAGUUAGUUCACACUCUAGACGUAGUAAUUUUUUAUCUCGCCUAUUAGUUGGACUAAUCCCCUGCCGUAAAACCCCCAAUUUAUCAAGGUUGACCUCGAAUCGGUUCAGACAAACUCGCUAAAUUGAAGCAUCUUAGUCAGCGAAGGAAAAGAAACCAACAGGGAUUGCCCUAGUAACGGCGAGUGAAGCGGCAACAGCUCAAAUUUGAAAUCUGGCCCUCGGGUCCGAGUUGUAA